ACAGUUUGAUCCUGGCUCAGAUUGAACGCUGGCGGCAKGCUUAACACAUGCAAGUCGAGCGGAGUGAUGGUGCUUGCACUAUCACUUAGCGGCGGACGGGUGAGUAAUGCUUAAGCAAUCUGCCUAUUAGUGGGGGACAACAUUUCAAAAGGAAUGCUWAUACCGCAUACKUCCUACGGGAGAAAGCAGGAGAUCUUCGGACCUUGCGCUAAUAGAUGASCCUAASUCAGAUUAGCUAGKUGGUGGGGUAAAGGCCUACCAAGGCGACUAUCUGUAUCGGGUCCGAGAGGAUGAUCCGCCACUCUGGGUACUGAGACACGGCCCACUCUCCUACGGGGGGCAGCUGUGGGGAAUAUUGCACAAUGGGCGCAAGCCUGAUCCAGCCAUGCCGCGUGUGUGAAGAAGGCCUUAUGGUUGUAAAGCACUUUAACGCGAGCGAGGAGGCUACUGAAGUUAAUACCUUCAGAUAGUGGACGCUACUCGCAUGAAUAAGCACCGGCUAACUCUGUGCCAGCAGCCGCGGUAAUACAGAGGGUGCAAGCGUUCAAUCGGUAUUUACUGGGCGUAAAGCGUGCGUAGGUGGCCAAUUAAGUCAAAUGUGAAAUCCCCGAGCUUAACUUGAGAAAUGCAUUCGAUACUGGUUGGCUAGAGUAUGGAAGAGGAUGGUAUAAUUCCAGGUGUAGCGGUGAAAUGCGUAGAGAUCUGGASGAAUACCGAUGGCGAARGCAGCCUUCUGGCCUAAUACUGACACUGARGUACGAAAGCAUGGGGGAGCAAACAGGAUUAG
rnacentral:rRNA from 1 species